rnacentral:rRNA from 1 species
AUUGAACGCUGGCGGCAUGCCUUACACAUGCAAGUCGAACGGCAGCACGGGUGCUUGCACCUGGUGGCGAGUGGCGAACGGGUGAGUAAUACAUCGGAACAUGUCCUGUAGUGGGGGAUAGCCCGGCGAAAGCCGGAUUAAUACCGCAUACGAUCUACGGAUGAAAGCGGGGGACCUUCGGGCCUCGCGCUAUAGGGUUGGCCGAUAGCUGAUUAGCUAGUUGGUGGGGUAAAGGCCUACCAAGGCGACGAUCAGUAGCUGGUCUGAGAGGACGACCAGCCACACUGGGACUGAGACACGGCCCAGACUCCUACGGGAGGCAGCAGUGGGGAAUUUUGGACAAUGGGCGAAAGCCUGAUCCAGCAAUGCCGCGUGUGUGAAGAAGGCCUUCGGGUUGUAAAGCACUUUUGUCCGGAAAGAAAUCCUUGGCUCUAAUACAGUCGGGGGAUGACGGUACCGGAAGAAUAAGCACCGGCUAACUACGCG